UGAGGAAUAUUGGUCAAUGGACGGAAGUCUGAACUAGCCAAGUAGCGUGCAGGAUGACGGCCCUAUGGGUUGUAAACUGCUUUUGUAUGGGGAUAAAGUUAGGGACGUGUCCCUAUUUGCAGGUACCAUACGAAUAAGGACCGGCUAAUUCCGUGCCAGCAGCCGCGGUAAUACGGAAGGUCCAGGCGUUAUCCGGAUUUAUUGGGUUUAAAGGGAGCGUAGGCUGGAGAUUAAGUGUGUUGUGAAAUGUAGACGCUCAACGUCUGAAUUGCAGCGCAUACUGGUUUCCUUGAGUACGCACAACGUUGGCGGAAUUCGUCGUGUAGCGGUGAAAUGCUUAGAUAUGACGAAGAACUCCGAUUGCGAAGGCAGCUGACGGGAGCGCAACUGACGCUUAAGCUCGAAGGUGCGGGUAUCAAACAGG
rnacentral:rRNA from 1 species